rnacentral:rRNA from 1 species
AGUGAACGCUGGCGGUAGGCCUAACACAUGCAAGUCGAACGGCAGCACAGUAAGAGCUUGCUCUUACGGGUGGCGAGUGGCGGACGGGUGAGGAAUACAUCGGAAUCUACUUUUUCGUGGGGGAUAACGUAGGGAAUCUUACGCUAAUACCGCAUACGACCUACGGGUGAAAGCAGGGGAUCUUCGGACCUUGCGCGAUUGAAUGAGCCGAUGUCGGAUUAGCUAGUUGGCGGGGUAAAGGCCCACCAAGGCGACGAUCCGUAGCUGGUCUGAGAGGAUGAUCAGCCACACUGGAACUGAGGCACGGUCCAGACUCCUACGGGAGGCAGCAGUGGGGAAUAUUGGACAAUGGACGCAAGCCUGAUCCAGCCAUACCGCGUGGGUGAAGAAGGCCUUCGGGUUGUAAAGCCCUUUUGUUGGGAAAGAAAAGCAGCAGGUUAAUACCCCGCCGUUCUGACGGUACCCAAAGAAUAAGCACCGGCUAACUUCGUG